UGCUAAUGCAGAACUAUUUGAAAGUAACUUUAAGAACUUGGAUUAUGUGAAAGUCCCUACAAUCUUCUGGGAUUAUACUACUCCACAGAUUCUGACAAUGGAGUAUGUUCCAGGGAUUAAAAUAAAUAAAAUACAAGCUUUAGAUCAACUGGGUGUUGACCGCAAAAAGUUAAUAGCAUCCAAAUUUCUUCAAGCAAAGUUACUACUGGCAUCUUACCUUACACAUCUGUGCAUCUCAAUAACUGAUAAUGGCUACCUUAUCUUCUACAGGUUAGGACGAUAUGCUGUUGAGUCUUACUUGGAGCAGAUUUUAUCACACGGUUUCUUCCAUGCUGACCCCGUGCGUUCUUGUUUUGAGAAUUGCUGAAUCGUUUUUGUGUUGUCUCACUCUUUUGUCCUAUUUUGUUUCAAGUGUAAAUAAAGAGGAAGGAAAUGAAAUGAAAUAGGACCGAAUACCAAAUUGGACAAAUCUUAGAUAUAGUAGUACCUUAGGUACUCUCGAGGCUGUUCUCCAAAUAGAAUUGGAGUUUCACCUUGACAAUAUACAUAAUGUAUAUUAUCGAGGUCUACGUUAAAUAUAAGUGCAUAUUGUCGAGGUGAAACUCUAAUUUUAAUUAGAGAACACCACCAAUAAUACCUAUAAUACUAUAACUAAGUUUUGUCUUACCAAAUUUCCAAUGUUUGUUUAAGAGGAGACAUAUGAAGGAUGUUUAUUGGUUGGUUA